CAUUAAUUAAACUUAAAAGAUCAGCAAUAAGUUAAGUUAAUAUUAGAAAGUAAAGUUUAUAAGCCACUUUGGGUGGAGAGCCACUACCAGUUGGAGUAUUCCUCCUUCCUUUUUUGGAUCGCCAUUACGUUGCAUCAUAUCACUCAUCUUCCACUCAAUUUUCUCUCUCUUCACCAAAUUUUGCCACUUAGCAGAAUCCAACGGUCCCCAUUUUCUGUAAAUUGAGACCCUUUUCUUUCAUUUUCCUUAUCGCUUCUAUUUCAUUCUUCCAUCCUCCAAGAGCUUAGAGAGGGAAUGAGUGAUCUAGAGAGAGAAUGAGAGGAGAAGAAGAAGAAAGAUGUAGGAAAAGUUCAAGGUUUCGAUAAAAAAGUUAAUAUUUCCUUAAACGUCUUAAUUAGCAUUUUUAGAAAUCAAAAUUAUGAAAUUUGAGUUUUAUGUUUUGCACGAUUUAUGUUUAAUAGUUACAAUAAAAUAAUUUGUUCUUGAUUAAACAUGCUAUGUGAUUUUAUAAGCACUUGAUGAUU
rnacentral:lncRNA from 1 species